rnacentral:rRNA from 1 species
UACGUAGGGUGCGAGCGUUGCCCGGAUUUAUUGGGCGUAAAGGGCGCGUAGGCGGUCACGCACGUCCGUUGUGAAAUCGCUCGGCUCAACUGGGCGGGGUCAGCGGAUACGGCGUGGCUGGAGCAAGCUAGGGGGCAAUGGAAUUCCCGGUGUAGUGGUGGAAUGCGUAGAUAUCGGGAGGAACACCAGUGGCGAAGGCGGCUUGCUGGGCCGGACCUGACGCUGAGGCGCGAAGGCGUGGGGAGCGAACGGG